UACGGGGGGGGCAAGCGUUGUUCGGAAUCACUGGGCGUAAAGGGCGCGUAGGCGGUUCGGUUUGUCAACUGUGAAAUCCCUCGGCUUAACUGAGGAAGUGCAUUUGAAACGGCCGAACUUGAGUUCGGGAGAGGGAAGCGGAAUUCCCAGUGUAGCAGUGAAAUGCUUAGAUAUUGGGAGGAACACCGGUGGCGAAGGCGGCUUCCUGGACCGACACUGACGCUGAGGCGCGAGAGCUAGGGGAGCAAAC
rnacentral:rRNA from 1 species